GUAGGUGGCAAGCGUUGUCCGGAAUUAUUGGGCGUAAAGCGCGCGCAGGUGGUUCGUUUAAGUCUGAUGUGAAAGACCCCCGGGCCUCAACCGGGGAGGGGUCAUUGGAAACUGGGGAACGUUGAGUGCAGGAGAGGAAAGUGGAAUUCCACGUGUAGCGGUGAAAUGCGUAGAUAUGUGGAGGAACAACCAGUGGCGAAGGCGACUUUCUGGCCUGUAACUGACACUGAGGCGCGAAAGCGUGGGGAGCAAACAGGAUUAGAUACCCUGGUAGUCCACGCCGUAAACGAUGAGUGCUAAGUGUUGGGGGGUUUCCGCCCCUCAGUGCUGCAGCUAACGCAUUAAGCACUCCGCCUGGGGAGUACGGUCGCAAAGACUG
rnacentral:rRNA from 1 species